GAUGAACGCUAGCGGCAGGCUUAACACAUGCAAGUCGAGGGGCAGCGGGGAGGAAGCUUGCUUUCUCCGCCGGCGACCGGCGCACGGGUGAGUAACACGUAUGCAACCUGCCUGCCACAGCCGGAUAAUCGGGAGAAAUUCCGUCUAAUACGGCAUAAUGCAUCGACGGGACAUCCUGUUGGUGCCAAAGGUUAAUUCCGGUGGCGGAUGGGCAUGCGUCGCAUUAGUUAGUUGGCGGUGUAACGGACCACCAAGACGACGAUGCGUAGGGGUUCUGAGAGGAAGGUCCCCCACACUGGUACUGAGACACGGACCAG
rnacentral:rRNA from 1 species